CUCAUCACCCUCUUUCAUCUUAUAUUUCGAUUGUUGGCUUCUCCAAGCCAACAUGGCUGCUUGUGACAUUCUUUGCCUAUUCCUUCUACUUGUCUACUCACUGCACCCAGAUUCAUUGGUCAUCUGCUCGGCUUAUUCACAACAUUCUUUCAAGUCAAUAGUUUUACAUUGGCUAAAUCAUCCUAGAUACGAUCAUUCCUCUUCAUGAUCCAUCCUUAAGAGGAGACACUCUUCC
rnacentral:lncRNA from 1 species